rnacentral:tRNA from 1 species
CAAAGAAUAGUUUAAUCUUAGAAUCCCAGCUUUGGGGGUUGGGGGUGGGAGUUUGAAUCUCCCUUCUUUGA